UUUUGAUAGAAUCCCUAUCGGGAAAUUGUUUGCAAAAUUUUCACAUCCUUAAACUUUACUCACUCGUUAUCACUAGGAGCCCUUACUCCAUUCAGGAAGUUCCCGAUAGAGCCGGGUGGUUUGAUUCGGUUGUGGAGGGUUGUUUUAUAUCUUCUACGUCGUGCUGGUUGACGGAGUGGUUUCGCGAUUGUGAGGCGAACGGGUUUUUCGGGGGCAGGAAUGUCAAUUUUUUCGGCAGAGAAGUUUAAGUUUUGUGUUUGUUUGCGAGAUUUGGCAAUGAGGGUUUCUAUGUUAUUUGUAUUAAAGGGAAAUACGUACGUCAUAAGGCACCACUGAAGUACUUUUUUUACUUGUUAUUUCUAUUCGAUUCGAUUUAUAUGUUACCUGGCCAGCUGCUGCGUCCUAUGCCUAAUGAGCUACGAUUGUGAAAACCUACUAACACUAGGCACCUCCACCUUUUCCCACGUGUCAAACAUUGUAUGCAACACCAUGAUUUGCAGACGGAAAUUUUGGGAUUCACUUGACCAAAAAAUAUCUGAAUAUUUAGUUCUGCUUUUCUUUUUUGUUCGGCUUUUCUUUGGUGAACUCCUGUGAAAUGGAAUGAUAAUGUUGGAAAUAAAAGUGAUCACUUAAAUGGUCAUGUAUUGAGUCAAGAAACAGCGGCAGUGAGUGCAAACAUGGCUUUUUAGAAAAGGUAUUUUACAGAAAGGGAGUUUUAUCUCUGUACGAGACGGAAAACAUAUAAACGGGGAGGGAGCUUGAAAAAAAAAAUGGAAUAAAGACAUUUUUUUUU